rnacentral:rRNA from 1 species
CAGCCGCCACGGUAAUACGUAGGUGGCAAGCGUUGCUCGGAAUUACUGGGCGUAAAGCGUGCGCAGGCGGUUGUGUAAGACAGGUGUGAAAUCCCCGGGCUUAACCUGGGAACUGCGCUUGUGUCUGCACAGCUAGAGUAUGGCAGAGGGGGGUGGAAUUCCACGUGUAGCAGUGAAAUGCGUAGAGAUGUGGAGGAACACCGAUGGCGAAGGCAGCCCCCUGGGCCAAUACUGACGCUCAUGCACGAAAGCGUAGGGAGCAAACAGGAUUAGAUACCCCUGUAGUCCCUGUCUCUUAUAC